rnacentral:rRNA from 1 species
GACGAACGCUGGCGGCGUGCUUAACACAUGCAAGUCGAACGGAAAGGCCCUGCUUUUGUGGGGUGCUCGAGUGGCGAACGGGUGAGUAACACGUGAGUAACCUGCCCUUGACUUUGGGAUAACUUCAGGAAACUGGGGCUAAUACCGGAUAGGAGCUCCUGCUGCAUGGUGGGGGUUGGAAAGUUUCGGCGGUUGGGGAUGGACUCGCGGCGUAUCAGCUUGUUGGUGGGGUAGUGGCGUACCAAGGCUUUGACGGGUAGCCGGCCUGAGAGGGUGACCGGCCACAUUGGGACUGCGCUACGGCCCAGCCUCCUACGGGAGGCAGCAGUGGGGAAUAUUGCACGAUGGGCGGAAGCCUGAUGCAGCAACGCCGCGUGCGGGAUGACGGCCUUCGGGUUGUAAACCGCUUUCGCCUGUGACGAAGCGUGAGUGACGGUAAUGGGUAAAGAAGCACCGGCUAACUACGUG